AAAUGGGUUUAUUGCUUUUGUUCUUUUAUCGAAAUGGGUUUAUUUACUCUGUAUUCUGUACCUGUGACUGCCACCCAAUAUAGUUUAAAUCCAUUGAAAAUGUAGAUUAUUGGGAAAUGGUUUUUUUAUUUUUUAUUUUUUUCCCGGUUUUGUUCUGUAUAUGGUUGUGAUCUAUUUGCCUCUUGCUUGAUCGAUCAAUUAUAUGGUUAGAUUGUGAAAUUCUAGGAAGUAGGUUAGGAUGUGAAUGAACCUGUUAAUACAACCGACUCUAUCAUUGAAGAUUAGACAUGGCAGAGGAAGAACUGAAGUGUAUUGCUGAAUAUGUGGUAUGCAAAGUUUUGCUUUUUAUUUACUAUGUGCCACAUUGUAUAUUCUGAUAUGAUAUAGAAGAUUAGUAUAAAAAUUUCAAAUUUUCCUCUUCAUACUCGAGCCCUUGCCCAGGGGAAGGAGAAUCUAACCUAUGUAGAGGAGAAAUCAAAAGGAAGGGUUGCUGAUUUCAGGCCAAAUAUUCUUAUGCUUGGACUUCCUCCUCCUGAUUAUGUUCUGCACACAGUUUCCAACUUUCACACUAAUGAUUUGGAGCAGACAUUGCUAGUAGUGCUGUGAUAUUCGUACAUUGAAGCAAUCUAACUUGUGUGUUGUUUGAUGGAUAAUUUCUUAUUGUCAUCAAUGGAAUUAUAUCUAUUGUACAUUCGUUGUGUUUGUAUCAGAAAUUUCUAUCCAUCAAUUGUAUCACUGCUUCUAUUAGUUUGAAAACAAUGAACUCCUAUGAAAUAUCCAUAUACCCCUUCAACCA